UACAGAGGGUGCGAGCGUUGUCCGGUAUCACUGGGCGUAAAGGGCGCGUAGGUGGCUUGCCAAGCGUGUGGUGAAAGCCCGGAGCUCAACUCCGGGUCUGCCAUGCGAACUGGCAGGCUUGAGCACGGUAGAGGCCAAUGGAAUUCCGGGUGUAGCGGUGGAAUGCGUAGAGAUCCGGAAGAACACCGGUGGCGAAGGCGGUUGGCUGGGCCGUAGCUGACACUGAGGCGCGACAGCGUGGGGAGCAAACGGG
rnacentral:rRNA from 1 species